rnacentral:rRNA from 2 species
GAAUGCUGACAUAAGUAACGAUAAAGCGGGUGAAAAGCCCGCUCGCCGGAAGACCAAGGGUUCCUGUCCAACGUUAAUCGGGGCAGGGUGAGUCGACCCCUAAGGCGAGGCCGAAAGGCGUAGUCGAUGGGAAACGGGUUAAUAUUCCCGUACUUGGUGUUACUGCGAAGGGGGGACGGAGAAGGCUAUGUUGGCCGGGCGACGGUUGUCCCGGUUUAAGCGUGUAGGUGUGUGUUCCAGGUAAAUCCGGUUCACUUUAACACUGAGGCGUGACGACGAGGCACUACGGUGCUGAAGCAACAAAUGCCCUGCUUCCAGGAAAAGCCUCUAAGCAUCAGGUAACAUCAAAUCGUACCCCAAACCGACACAGGUGGUCAGGUAGAGAAUACCAAGGCGCUU